rnacentral:rRNA from 1 species
UGGGGAAUAUUGGACAAUGGGCGAAAGCCUGAUCCAGCCAUGCCGCGUGUGUGAAGAAGGCCUUUUGGUUGUAAAGCACUUUAAGUGGGGAGGAAAAGCUUAUGGUUAAUACCCAUAAGCCCUGACGUUACCCACAGAAUAAGCACCGGCUAACUCUGUGCCAGCAGCCGCGGUAAUACAGAGGGUGCAAGCGUUAAUCGGAAUUACUGGGCGUAAAGCGCGCGUAGGUGGUUAUUUAAGUCAGAUGUGAAAGCCCCGGGCUUAACCUGGGAACUGCAUCUGAUACUGGAUAACUAGAGUAGGUGAGAGGGGAGUAGAAUUCCAGAUGUAGCGGUGAAAUGCGUAGAGAUCUGGAGGAAUACCGAUGGCGAAGGCAGCUCCCUGGCAUCAUACUGACACUGAGGUGCGAAAGCGUGGGUAGCAAACAGGAUUAGAUACCCUGGUAGUCCACGCCGUAAACGAUGUCUACCAGUCGUUGGGUCUUUUAAAGACUUAGUGACGCAGUUAACGCAAUAAGUAGACCGCCUGGGGAGUACGGCCGCAAGGUUA